rnacentral:misc_RNA from 1 species
UCAUAACUCUUCUGAUUUUUGAAAAGGGAAUGGUGGGGAGAGCUCACGCAGACGACGUGAUAGUAUGAUAGUGUCUAACCGUACAUAAAUGUGUGCUGACGUAGGGUAUUGGGAGGAGUUUCGAUAAGUUUGAAAGAUUCACGAAACAAGCGGAAUCGUAAAACUCUUGGAGUACUAGUAAAAAAAGACAGUAAAAAAUGGCAGAAUUAGCGGCUUUGUUGCGUCAGGACAUACCAGAAGGGAGGACAAAUUUGGCUGACAGUCACACGAACUUGGAGCGUGUAGCAGAAUACUGCGAAGCUAAUUAUUUUCAAGCUGAAAACAAAAGGAUUGCUUUGGAGGAGACGAAGAAUUACACGACUCAGUCGUUAGCAAGUGUUGCCUACCAGAUAAACACUUUGGCUUACAAUUUUUUACAACUAUUAGAUUUGCAGACUUCUCAGUUGGCCGAAAUGGAAAGUCAGAUGAAUCAUAUCGACCAAACAGUAAUGAUACACAAAGAAAAAGUAGCAAGAAGAGAAAUCGGUGUUCUGACAGCCAACAAGAUGACAACAAGGCAAUACAAGAUCAUAGCACCGGCAAAUCCUGAGAAACCUAUUAAAUACGUGAGAAAAUGUAUUGAUUAUACGAUUCUUGAUGAAAUUGGUCACGGUGUAAGAAGCUCAGGAACUCCCAGAAGCAAACAACGAGGCGGCAGUCAAGGCAGUGUUCAGAGCUUAGGCGCAGCCUCCACUGGAUCUGGUUUAGCAGCGGCUAUGGUUGGUCCUGCACCAACAACGAAACCACCCACUCCUCCACAAACCGUGCGAACUGGAACUCUCAGUAAAGGCUCUCGCGAAUAUAGGACUCCCCCAGCUGUCGCACCGCCUCAAGUUCCCAGCCACUAUGCGCCGAAUUAUCCUCUCGGCCAUCCCAGACGAGAAAGAGGACCUGGCUACAGCACUCUACCUCUCCACGCUCACACCACUUCUCAUUCCACCCACAAUAACAAUCACAAUUCCAUCUCCAACACCAUUGGCCAACACACUUCGCCACCUCAAAUUGGCACUGUUCAUCCUCUUCAAAGUCAUCCCCAGAUCCCACCACCCGCGCCACCCAGUGUCACAGGAUCCUCUGGUUACUCGUCCGAACAACAUAAUAGCAUGCCACCCCCUCCAUCGCCAUUGGUUGGAAUUGGCAGCGAUUUGGGCGAUUAUACCGGACAUCACACGUUACCACACAGGCUGUCACAUCAGAUAAGUCGCAGCAGCGGAGCGAGUAGUCCACCGCUGCCUCCGCCACCACCACCCGAGCAGGACGAACAUCCGCAAUUCGGACGCCCUCAACAAUCCAGCGGUGCGAUAAUGCCGAUUGUACCCGAUGAGGAAGAUUUACCAGGCUGGGUGCCCAAAAAUUAUAUCGAAAAAGAAAGAUUCUUCUCAUUCCUUUGAGUCUGAACAGCUUAAUGUUCUCUUAUGGUCGCUAAAAACGACUUCUCAUCGAUUUAUUGAUCGUCGCGAUUUACGAUUAUUACGCCGACAAAGAGGACGAGCUGAGUUUCCAGGAAAGCAGCGUAAUUUAUGUGUUGAAGAAGAACGAUGAUGGAUGGUGGGAGGGCG